AUUGAACGCUGGCGGCAUGCUUUACACAUGCAAGUCGAACGGUAACAGGCCUUCGGGUGCUGACGAGUGGCGAACGGUUGAGUAAUGCAUCGGAACGUACCCAGAGGUGGGGGUUAACGCAGCGAAAGCUGUUCUAAUACCGCAUGUGAUCUGAGGAUGAAAGCGGGGGACCGAGCAGCAAUGUUUGUCCUCUCGCCUUUGUAUCGGCCGAUUUCGGAUUAGCUAGUUGGUGGGGUAAAGGCCUACCAAGGCGACGAUCCGUAUCUGGUCUGAGAGGACGACCAGAAAAACUGGAAAUGAGAAACGGCAAAGAAUCGGAGGGGAGGAAGAAGGGGGGAAUGUUGGAAAAUGGGAGAAAGACUGAUCCAGAAAUGCAGGGUGAGGGAAGAAGGACGUCGGGUUGUAAACCGCUUUUGGCAGGAACGAAAAGGUGUCAGCUAAUACCGGGCGGUAAUGACGGUAACUGCAGAAUAAGAAACGGCUAACUACGU
rnacentral:rRNA from 1 species